rnacentral:rRNA from 67 species
CGACCCCAGGUCAGGCGGGGUUACCCGCUGAAUUUAAGCAUAUCAAUAAGCGGAGGA